rnacentral:tRNA from 1 species
GGUUCAAUGGUCUAGCGGUUACGAUUCUCGCUUAGGGUGCGAGAGGUCCCCGGUUCGAGUCCGGGUUGAACCC